rnacentral:rRNA from 1 species
AUUGAACGCUGGCGGCAUGCUUUACACAUGCAAGUCGAACGGUAACAGGGAGCUUGCUCCGCUGACGAGUGGCGAACGGGUGAGUAAUGCGUCGGAACGUGCCGAGUAGUGGGGGAUAACGCAUCGAAAGGUGUGCUAUACCGCAUACGAACUGAGGUUGAAAGUGGGGGACCUUCGGGCCUCACGCUAUUCGAGCGGCCGACGUCUGAUUAGCUAGUUGGUGCGGUAAAGGCUCACCAAGGCGCCGAGCAGUAGCGGGUCUGAGAGGAUGAUCCGCAACAAUGGGACUGAGAAACGGCCCAGACGCCUACGGGAGGGAGCAGUGGGGAACAUUGGUCAAUGGGCGGGAGCCUGAACCAGCCAAGUCGCGUGAGGGAAGACGGCCCUACGGGUUGUAAACCUCUUUUGUCGGGGAGCAAAGAGCGCCACGCGUGGCGAGAUGAGAGUACCCGAAGAAAAAGCAUCGGCUAACUCCGUGCCAGCCGCCGCGGUAAAAC